rnacentral:rRNA from 1 species
UGUAAGCGUAUACCAAAGUUGUUGCAGUUAAAACGCUCGUAGUCGGAAUUUGGCAGUUCCGGAUGUGUGCACGUCGUGUGCGCACUUCGCGGGGUUGCUUUUGUGGUCUUGCGUAGGAUGAGGCACUUUUAUUAGUGAACGUCCUCACGCAACCACUUUUUACUGUGAGAAAAUCAGAGUGCUCAAAGCAGGCAUUUGCCGUGAAUGUAUUAGCAUGGAAUAAUAGAAUAGGACUUGGUUCUAUUUUGUUGGUUUGUUGGGACUGAGUAAUGAUUAAGAGGGACAGUUGGGGGCAUUUGUAUUUCGGUGCUAGAGGUGAAAUUCUUAGAUUACCGAAAGACAAACUGCUGCGAAAGCGUCUGCCAAGGAUGUUUUCAUUGA